rnacentral:rRNA from 1 species
AACGAACGCUGGCGGCGGGCUUAACACAUGCAAGUCGAACGGGCACCUUCGGGUGUCAGUGGCAGACGGGUGAGUAACGCGUGGGAACGUACCCUUCGGUUCGGAAUAACCCAGGGAAACUUGGGCUAACACCGGAUACGUCCGCAAGGAGAAAGAUUUAUCGCCGAAGGAUCGGCCCGCGUCGGAUUAGCUAGUUGGUGGGGUAAUGGCCCACCAAGGCGACGAUCCGUAGCUGGUCUGAGAGGAUGACAGCCACACU